rnacentral:rRNA from 1 species
GACGUAGGGCGCGAGCGUUGUCCGGAUUUAUUGGGCGUAAAGAGCUCGUAGGCGGCUUGUCGCGUCGAUCGUGAAAACUUGUGGCUCAACUACAAGCUGGCGGUCGAUACGGGCAGGCUGGAGUUCGGUAGGGGAGACUGGAAUUCCUGGUGUAGCGGUGAAAUGCGCAGAUAUCAGGAGGAACACCGGUGGCGAAGGCAGCUCGCUGGGACGUUACUGACACUGAGGCGCGAAAGCGUGGGGAGCGAACAGG